GACCUCUACUUCAUUGACCAAAGUGGUGUAGAUAAAUUUGUGGCUGCAAAUUCAAAGGCUCAACCGUCAAAGGAAGUGGAUUGCAGUGAUUUCAAAGCUGGCAGUAUGCGCUCCAAAGGAAGGCACGCAAAACUGGAUGAAACUGCUGUUUUUGGUGCAGCUUGUAGACAUGACUUUCCUUAGCUCAUGUUCAGCUUGAAGCAUGGUGAAAGGUUGGCCUACCCAGGUUAUCUCAUCCAGGAGUUGCUGAGAAGACAUGGGGAAACCAACGUCUAUUUCAUGUAUGAUAUUGCAUGUAUGCUGGAUAAUCACGUCAAGAAACAUUAUCCUGAUAUGUCGUUGGACUCAAAGAAGUUUGCCAUUCCUAUAUUCCAUUCCUAUGGUCACAAGUUCGACUGUCAG